UACGUAGGCAGCGAGCGUUGUUCGGAGUUACUGGGCGUAAAGCGUGCGUAGGCGGUGUCUUAAGUUUGUUGUGAAAUCUCCCGGCUUAACCGGGAGGGUGCGGCGAAUACUGAGAUGCUGGAGUGCGGGAGAGGUAAGCGGAAUUCCUGGUGUAGCGGUGAAAUGCGUAGAUAUCAGGAGGAACACCUGCGGUGUAGACGGCUUACUGGACCGUAACUGACGCUGAGGCACGAAAAGCGUGGGUAGCAAACAGG
rnacentral:rRNA from 1 species